AUUGAACGCUGGCGGCAGGCCUAACACAUGCAAGUCGAGCGGAUGAGUGGAGCUUGCUCCAUGAUUCAGCGGCGGACGGGUGAGUAAUGCCUAGGAAUCUGCCUGGUAGUGGGGGACAACGUUUCGAAAGGAACGCUAAUACCGCAUACGUCCUACGGGAGAAAGUGGGGGAUCUUCGGACCUCACGCUAUCAGAUGAGCCUAGGUCGGAUUAGCUAGUUGGUGAGGUAAAGGCUCACCAAGGCAACGAUCCGUAACUGGUCUGAGAGGAUGAUCAGUCACACUGGAACUGAGACACGGUCCAGACUCCUACGGAGCAGCAGUGGGGAAUAUUGGACAAUGGCGAAAGCCUGAUCCAGCCAUGCCGCGUGUGUGAAGAAGGUCUUCGGAUUGUAAAGCACUUUAAGUUGGGAGGAAGGGCAGUAAGUUAAUACCUUGCUGUUUUGACGUUACCAACAGAAUAAGCACCGCUAACUUCGUGCCAGCAGCCGCGGUAAUACGAAGGGUGCAAGCGUUAAUCGGAAUUACUGGGCGUAAAGCGCGCGUAGGUGGUUCGUUAAGUUGGAUGUGAAAAGCCCCGGGCUCAACCUGGGAACUGCAUCCAAAACUGGCGAGCUAGAGUAUGGCAGAGGGUGGUGGAAUUUCCUGUGUAGCGGUGAAAUGCGUAGAUAUAGGAAGGAACACCAGUGGCGAAGGCGACCACCUGGGGCUAAUACUGACACUGAGGUGCGAAAGCGUGGGGAGCAAACAGGAUUAGAUACCCCUGGUACUA
rnacentral:rRNA from 2 species